AUUGAACGCUGGCGGCAUGCCUAACACAUGCAAGUCGAGCGGAUGAAGGGAGCUUGCUCCUGGAUUCAGCGGCGGACGGGUGAGUAAUGCCUAGGAAUCUGCCUGGUAGUGGGGGAUAACGUCCGGAAACGGGCGCUAAUACCGCAUACGUCCUGAGGGAGAAAGUGGGGGAUCUUCGGACCUCACGCUAUCAGAUGAGCCUAGGUCGGAUUAGCUAGUUGGUGGGGUAAAGGCCUACCAAGGCGACGAUCCGUAACUGGUCUGAGAGGAUGAUCAGUCACACUGGAACUGAGACACGGUCCAGACUCCUACGGGAGGCAGCAGUGGGGAAUAUUGGACAAUGGGCGAAAGCCUGCUCCAGCCAUGCCGCGUGUGUGAAGAAGGUCUUCGGAUUGUAAAGCACUUUAAGUUGGGAGGAAGGGCAGUAAGUUAAUACCUUGCUGUUUUGACGUUACCAACAGAAUAAGCACCGGCUAACUUCGUG
rnacentral:rRNA from 1 species